CGGGCCUGUAAAUGGCGUCUAGGGGACGAGGAGCGUUGGGGAGAGAGAGAGAGAAAGCAGGCACCGGUCACUCCGGAACAGGUCUAGGCACCCCGGAAGCGGCACCCAAAGAACGCCGGCCCGAAAGAGGAAGAGGAGAAGAUGCAGAAAAUAACAGUCUGAAAGAGGACGUCCUUACUGAAGUCCCCUAGCCAGGAAGCAGCAGGGCCUGGAAUGAAACGCAAGCCUGUCUCACCCUAGAACAAGCCCACAUUUUUUUCCCCUGGCGGCGGGCAGCCUGCCUGGUGCCCUCUCAUGGGAGUGGAGGUAAAACAGGAGAGAAGUCCAGAGCAUGUGAGACUGAGCUCCCUGGGGACAGACAUCUGAUUCGUGCCUGCGGCCCUACUAGCCCCUGAUAGAAGUACAGAUUUUGUGAGGGGGAGUGCAGAAGCUGCCGGAAGGGGGGUCUCAGGACCCAUGCCCCACAUUGGGAAAUAGGUGAAAGUAGCGGGGCAAAUCCAAGAUACUUGAGAACGGGAUCACUCACGUGUCCUCUUAGUUUCUUAGUGAAAAGCCACUUCUAACCAGUUCCUGCCUUGUCACAGUGAAAACCACCUUGGCUGGAGGUGAGGAAUUUGGGCCCCCCAGGCGUUCAGGGUUUUCAUUCAGUGAUAUUCACUGAGGCCCUGCAUGUGCCAGCCCUUGACAUUGAAGACACAGUAGAGAACAGAAAUGAAAAUACGGUAUUAAUCAUCCCUGAGCUUCUCAAUGGGCCCGUUGGCUAAGUGCUGGGGCUCUGGAGCCAGGCUCCCUGGGUCAGAGCCCAGCUCCCCCUUCUCUACUGUGGCUUUGGGCAGGUUUCUUAAAUCUCUCUCUGCCUCAGUUACUUUUUAUGUAAAACAGGACCACACAGUACCCACUUUGCCUCCUUUUUAGAGAUUUUGUGCGGUCGUUUGGCAGGGGAUCUGGCUGUAACACUGCAAGGAGGGCUUCCUGCAGGGGGAGGGUGUUGGAGAUGUCUUCAUCCAGUUCCUGUCUCCUAUACUGCCAAGUGGGCUGGCGUCCAGAGGAAGGGCAAUUCGUGGCAGUGGGUGGUGCAAGCCCCAGUUUAGCUCCCGGAGCCGAGGGAUGAGGCUAACUGUGGCUUUGCAGGGAAAUCCGAAGAUAGCUCAGCAGAGAAGGAUGACUCCCAGCCGGGCUUCCCCGCAGAGCGAAGGAAGCAAGGGUGAAUCAGCCUCUCAAAGUGGAAUGGAGCCGUUGAGGGAAGUGAUGGGAAGUGAAACCUCCAAGAGGUCCAAGGCCACUCGGCCUCUGACUCACCUCAGGCAGGGCAGAGGGAGGGCUCAGCCACAGGGCAGGGCAAACUGGGUGUGAAUCUGGGCCCUGCGGCCAGACCUCCAGCCUCUAGACAUGGCCCUUCCUGCAACCUCAGUUUCUGUAUCUCUACAACGGGGUGGGAGGGGUUUGGUCGAGGUGAUUUACAGGAGGGAAGCACACAGUAGGGCCUCCAGAACUGCUAGCCCCUCCCCCUUUCCUGUCUGAGUCUUAAACAGAUAAUGAAAUGAGUAUGUUGGGAUAGUUUGGGGUUCUUGUUAGUCUCCUGACCGGUGGGUCGUCCUCUAGGUCCUGGCGAGAUGAGUAGGGGAGGGAGGGCGGCAGGAAAAAGAAAAAGAGCAGCCAUGCACCACAUCUGAAAAUCAAUAGCGAAAAUAAAAAUGAUGAACUGUCUCUCGUGUAUCUGGUUCUUACUAAAUGCCUGCCCGUCUGUGCCGGUCCCUGUUUUCAUCUUCACAGCAGUUCCAUGGGAAGGUGGACCCAUUCUAGAAGUGAGGUAAAAUGUUCAGAGAGGUGAAGCCACUUGCCCAAAGUCACACAGGUAGUGGAUGGCAGAGCUAGGCUUUGGACCCUGAACCAAAUCCUGGAAUUGAAGCCUUUGCUCUUAGCCUCAGAUCUGUGGGGGUGGGGGUUAUUGAGGACCCACAGACCUGGGAGGGCACUUAGAGGAGGGGUCUG